rnacentral:rRNA from 1 species
GGGUUGUGAGGUUAAGCGACUAAGCGUACACGGUGGAUGCCCUGGCAGUCAGAGGCGAUGAAGGGCGUGCUAAUCUGCGAUAAGCGCCGGUAAGGUGAUAUGAACCGUUAUAACCGGCGAUACCCGAAUGGGGAAACCCAGUGUGAUUCGUCACACUAUCAUUAACUGAAUCCAUAGGUUAAUGAGGCGAACCGGGGGAACUGAAACAUCUAAGUACCCCGAGGAAAAGAAAUCAACCGAGAUUCCCCCAGUAGCGGCGAGCGAACGGGGAGGAGCCCAGAGCCUGAAUCAGCAUGUGUGUUAGUGGAAGCGUCUGGAAAGGCGCGCGAUACAGGGUGACAGCCCCGUACACAAAAGCGCAUGUGCUGUGAGCUCGAUGAGUAGGGCGGGACACGUGGUAUCCUGUCUGAAUAUGGGGGGACCAUCCUCCAAGGCUAAAUACUCCUGACUGACCGAUAGUGAACCAGUACCGUGAGGGAAAGGCGAAAAGAACCCCGGCGAGGGGAGUGAAAAAGAACCUGAAACCGUGUACGUACAAGCAGUGGGAGCACAGGUUUACCUGUGUGACUGCGUACCUUUUGUAUAAUGGGUCAGCGACUUAUAUUCUGUAGCAAGGUUAACCGAAUAGGGGAGCCGGAGGGAAACCGAGUCUUAAUUGGGCGUUAAGUUGCAGGGUAUAGACCCGAAACCCGGUGAUCUAGCCAUGGGCAGGUUGAAGGUUGGGUAACACUAACUGGAGGACCGAACCGACUAAUGUUGAAAAAUUAGCGGAUGACCUGUGGCUGGGGGUGAAAGGCCAAUCAAACCGGGAGAUAGCUGGUUCUCCCCGAAAGCUAUUUAGGUAGCGCCUCGUGAAUUCAUCUCCGGGGGUAGAGCACUGUUUCGGCUAGGGGGCCAUCCCGGCUUACCAACCCGAUGCAAACUGCGAAUACCGGAGAAUGUUAUCACGGGAGACACACGGCGGGUGCUAACGUCCGUCGUGAAGAGGGAAACAACCCAGACCGCCAGCUAAGGUCCCAAAGUCAUGGUUAAGUGGGAAACGAUGUGGGAAGGCCCAGACAGCCAGGAUGUUGGCUUAGAAGCAGCCAUCAUUUAAAGAAAGCGUAAUAGCUCACUGGUCGAGUCGGCCUGCGCGGAAGAUGUAACGGGGCUAAACCAUGCACCGAAGCUGCGGCAGCGAACGUAUCACUUAAAGCGAUUCAGCGGGUUACGAUUGACGGAGCGAAGCGACGUCAAAGCGUAUACAAAGUCGAGUCGGUUUAAGGAUACGUUCGUUGGGUAGGGGAGCGUUCUGUAAGCCUGUGAAGGUGGCCUGUGAGGGUUGCUGGAGGUAUCAGAAGUGCGAAUGCUGACAUAAGUAACGAUAAAGCGGGUGAAAAGCCCGCUCGCCGGAAGACCAAGGGUUCCUGUCCAACGUUAAUCGGGGCAGGGUGAGUCGACCCCUAAGGCGAGGCCGAAAGGCGUAGUCGAUGGGAAACGGGUUAAUAUUCCCGUACUUGGUGUUACUGCGAAGGGGGGACGGAGAAGGCUAUGUUGGCCGGGCGACGGUUGUCCCGGUUUAAGCGUGUAGGCUGGUUUUCCAGGCAAAUCCGGAAAAUCAAGGCUGAGGCGUGAUGACGAGGCACUACGGUGCUGAAGCAACAAAUGCCCUGCUUCCAGGAAAAGCCUCUAAGCAUCAGGUAACAUCAAAUCGUACCCCAAACCGACACAGGUGGUCAGGUAGAGAAUACCAAGGCGCUUGAGAGAACUCGGGUGAAGGAACUAGGCAAAAUGGUGCCGUAACUUCGGGAGAAGGCACGCUGACACGUAGGUGAAGUGAUUUACUCAUGGAGCUGAAGUCAGUCGAAGAUACCAGCUGGCUGCAACUGUUUAUUAAAAACACAGCACUGUGCAAACACGAAAGUGGACGUAUACGGUGUGACGCCUGCCCGGUGCCGGAAGGUUAAUUGAUGGGGUCAGCGCAAGCGAAGCUCCUGAUCGAAGCCCCGGUAAACGGCGGCCGUAACUAUAACGGUCCUAAGGUAGCGAAAUUCCUUGUCGGGUAAGUUCCGACCUGCACGAAUGGCGUAAUGAUGGCCAGGCUGUCUCCACCCGAGACUCAGUGAAAUUGAACUCGCUGUGAAGAUGCAGUGUACCCGCGGCAAGACGGAAAGACCCCGUGAACCUUUACUAUAGCUUGACACUGAACAUUGAGCCUUGAUGUGUAGGAUAGGUGGGAGGCUUUGAAGUGUGGACGCCAGUCUGCAUGGAGCCGACCUUGAAAUACCACCCUUUAAUGUUUGAUGUUCUAACGUGGACCCGUAAUCCGGGUUGCGGACAGUGUCUGGUGGGUAGUUUGACUGGGGCGGUCUCCUCCUAAAGAGUAACGGAGGAGCACGAAGGUUGGCUAAUCCUGGUCGGACAUCAGGAGGUUAGUGCAAUGGCAUAAGCCAGCUUGACUGCGAGCGUGACGGCGCGAGCAGGUGCGAAAGCAGGUCAUAGUGAUCCGGUGGUUCUGAAUGGAAGGGCCAUCGCUCAACGGAUAAAAGGUACUCCGGGGAUAACAGGCUGAUACCGCCCAAGAGUUCAUAUCGACGGCGGUGUUUGGCACCUCGAUGUCGGCUCAUCACAUCCUGGGGCUGAAGUAGGUCCCAAGGGUAUGGCUGUUCGCCAUUUAAAGUGGUACGCGAGCUGGGUUUAGAACGUCGUGAGACAGUUCGGUCCCUAUCUGCCGUGGGCGCUGGAGAACUGAGGGGGGCUGCUCCUAGUACGAGAGGACCGGAGUGGACGCAUCACUGGUGUUCGGGUUGUCAUGCCAAUGGCACUGCCCGGUAGCUAAAUGCGGAAGAGAUAAGUGCUGAAAGCAUCUAAGCACGAAACUUGCCCCGAGAUGAGUUCUCCCUGAGACUUAGAGUCUCCUGAAGGAACGUUGAAGACGACGACGUUGAUAGGCCGGGUGUGUAAGCGCAGCGAUGCGUUGAGCUAACCGGUACUAAUGAACCGUGAGGCUUAACCUUACAACGCCGAAGGUGUUU